rnacentral:rRNA from 1 species
UACGUAGGGGGCUAGCGUUGUCCGGAAUCAUUGGGCGUAAAGCGCGCGUAGGCGGCCAGAUAAGUCCGGUGUGAAAGUCACAGGCUCAACCUGUGAAUGCCGCUGGAAACUGUCUAGCUUGAGUCCGGAAGGGGCGAGUGGAAUUCCUGGUGUAGCGGUGAAAUGCGCAGAUAUCAGGAGGAACACCAAUGGUGAAGGCAGCUCGCUGGAACGGUACUGACGCUGAGGCGCGAAAGCGUGGGGAGCGAACAGG